CGGGGAGACAAUCCGCAGCCCCCUGUGUCUGUAUAGUUACCAGCCAAUCCACUGAGCACUUUCCCCUCCAAUACCGGGAAUGAGACUUUGGCUGCAUUUCGUUGCCAUUCUUGCAGCCUUGGAAGGGGUUCGUUCCCAGGUUGUUCUGACCCAGUCUGGCCCGGAAGCGAAGAAGCCCGGAGAAUCCGCUCAGCUGAAAUGCGCCGUGAGCGGGUUCAAUCCUGAUGACAGAUCGAUGGCUUGGAUCAGACAGGCGCCUGGGAAGGGGCUGCAAUGGCUGGUCAGCUACUGGAAAUCUUCAGUGAGCAGCCACUAUUCUCCCAGCGUCCAGGGACGAGUCAAAGUCUCCAAGGACAGCUCCAAUUUCUACUUGCAAAUAAGCAGCCUGAAACCCGAGGACACCGCCCUGUAUUACUGUGCAAGAGACACAGUGAGGGGAAACGGUCUGAGCUCAGACAAAAACUGCCUGUUGCGGUCUGUAGGGGAAGUCCCAGCUGGUUUAAUGCUGACAGUCCAGGCACUGGAAACUCAGAAGAGAAAACACAUCGUUCAGUUAAUGAUGGGCUGAUUUAGUCUAGAUCAGUUUCACAUAAGACAAAGAUCCAGGGCUUGGUCCCUGCCUGACCUAAAACGGUUAGGGAGACCCUCGGCGUCAAAUAUUUGAUUGAAAUAUUUAUACAUGUAAAUAAAUUAUAAUGUGCAAAAGGCAUUAAACACCCUCGCACCGUCCCCAUUUCCCAAAGGAGAGGAAAAGGCAGGAUAAACCAAACCACAAAGCCUCACAGCUAUAGAAAGUCACCCAGCUGGUCCUAGAGACACUGUGCAGUGAUGGCCCAUCGUUGUGAAAUGUUAACUUAGAAACGCAUUAAAUACCUCGUAUAAAUAUUGGCCUCAUCAAUAAACGAUGAUCUAUACAACAUGAGAACGUAGGGCCAAUUCCGAUUACCGAGCCCUCUGUUCAUCCAUUCUUGCAUCUCUCUAUCUGUCUAUCUAUAAAACAUCUUCCCACCCCACCCCUCUUUUUCUCAACCCAUGGUCACAGUGCUCCGAUCACAGAGGGAGGAGAGUGUAUCUUCUAAUUAUAUGUGUCAUUGCAAAUUAUUAGCCAAAUGCCCCUGUUAAAUUCUGCCCUGUCUCUGACCGUGCAUCUCGCCCUAUA